rnacentral:rRNA from 1 species
GACGAACGCUGGCGGCGUGCUUAACACAUGCAAGUCGAACGGAAAGGCCCUGCUUUUGUGGGGUGCUCUAGUGGCGAACGGGUGAGUGACACGUGAGUAACCUGCCCUUGACUUUGGGAUAACUUCAGGAAACUGGGGCUAAUACCGGAUAGGAGCUCCUGCUGCAUGGUGGGGGUUGGAAAGUUUCGGCGGUUGGGGAUGGACUCGCGGCUUAUCAGCUUGUUGGUGGGGUAGUGGCUUACCAAGGCUUUGACGGGUAGCCGGCCUGAGAGGGUGACCGGCCACAUGGGGACUGAGAUACGGCCCAGACUCCUACGGGAGGCAGCAGUGGGGAAUAUUGCACAAUGGGCGGAAGCCUGAUGCAGCAACGCCGCGUGCGGGAUGAAGGCCUUCGGGUUGUAAACCGCUUUAGCCUGUGACGAAGCGUGAGUGACGGUAAUGGGUAAAGAAGCACCGGCUAACUACGUG